UAGGGAAUCUUCCACAAUAGGCGAAAGCCUGAUGGAGCAACGCCGCGUGUGUGAUGAAGGCUUUCGGGUCGUAAAGCACUGUUGUAUGGGAAGAACAGCUAGAAUAGGAAAUGAUUUUAGUUUGACGGUACCAUACCAGAAAGGGACGGCUAAAUACGUGCCAG
rnacentral:rRNA from 1 species